rnacentral:rRNA from 1 species
UACGUAGGGUGCGAGCGUUGUCCGGAAUUAUUGGGCGUAAAGAGCUCGUAGGCGGCUUGUCGCGUCGGAUGUGAAAGCCCGGGGCUUAACUCCGGGUCUGCAUUCGAUACGGGCAGGCUAGAGUUCGGUAGGGGAGAUCGGAAUUCCAGGUGUAGCGGUGGAAUGCGUAGAUAUCUGGAAGAACACCGGUGGCGAAGGCGGUGGUCUGGGCCAAAACUGACGCUGAGGAGCGAAAGCCAGGGGAGCAAACGGG